rnacentral:lncRNA from 1 species
AUAUAACGCAUACUGUUUUUAUUAUCCUCCAAUCGCACUCGAGCACUUCCCCACUUCGCCACUCGACUUGUCACAACAACUAGAUUGCACGAGAGAUAGAAGUCGUUGACGUAGAAAAGCGGCAUCCCAAUAAUUAUGGUCGAAUGCAACACGGACAUUAGAUUGGAUCAAAGAAAAAUCCCUCGGAAUCGAUUGCGGCAAAGGACAUUUUCCUUAGGUUUGAAAAUGUAUCAAAUGUUCAAGAACAAGUUAGAAAACAAUGCACAGCUUUUUUA